rnacentral:lncRNA from 1 species
AUUCUCUCCAAAUACUAGCCAAUGCUUUAUGUAUUUGCUACUUUGCCAUCAUUCACUUUUUUUGUGAAGCAGAUGGUGGGAGAGAUGGGAUCCAUUCUUCGUCGUCUCAGGUGUCAGUCCUUUUUGUGCCUUUGGUGUCGUUAUCUUUUCUGGUGAGUAUUAUUUGGUGAAAUGUUGGCUUCCUUAUCUUUGGUUUCUUCUAUGAAUAGUUUGUCCAUUAUAUUUUGUUCUGUAUUUUGCGUUAAGAUAUAGUGAUUUUUUCUUUACUUUUUGGUGGGUUAUAAGAAGUUAAGUCAGCUCUAUUCAUAUGAAUCGACGUGCAAAAAAUAAAAUUUUGUUCAAUGAAUGCACAUAAAGAGUGGAAUUGGACAAACUAAAAUUGAAAUUAGGGUGAUUUACAGUUCUUAUGUUUAAAAGGCAUUUCUAUUAUAGCCAGAAAUUUUGAUGUAUAAUUGGUCAAACUUGGGGCAAGAAUACAUAAGUUUCCUUCUUCCUUCGUAAUUGCAUAUUCUAGAAACUGUUUCACUCUUCCAUAACUCUAUCCUCUUCUUUCUCUCUCAAUUUUGAUUUGAGUAUUUGGCUCUAGCAAUUUUGCAUAACAUGUAAGCAAUAUUUUUUUUUGAGGAUUUGCGUCUUUAUCUUCAAAUUCUAUACGCGAUAUUUGUCGUGUCACGCUGACUCUAGAAGGUACAGAAACUUCUAAUGGCUAUUCUAGGAUUACCUGUUUCUUUGGCUCUUUUCAUUAAUUGAUUAUGCAAUGCACGCUCUCUUUUUAAUACUGGUGUCAAUUUUUUUGUUCCUGUCCAAAUUGCCUCAAUGGACAUUCUAUUCUUUCUUAUGUUGGUAUGGGUUUUUCUGAUGAUAACCAGACAUGUGUCACUCGUUCGUAGCUUGGAUAUGACAGCAUGCCCUGAAAAGAAGAUAAUAAGUUGUAACCAAAUUGAUAGUGAAGAUGCUGAUAAUGAAAAUCAAGAUGAAUCCAUUGUUGCAAUGAUUGAAGAGCCAAACUCAG